rnacentral:lncRNA from 1 species
UCUCGGGCCAGGGCCAAGGGGCCCAUCGCCCAUCUGUCUCUGAAGGUGGCACCCACAGGCAGUCUGUCAGUGUCCGAGGGCAGCAGUUGCCCCAGGACCAGUGCCUAACCUUGGUGAUGCCGCCACUGGGAGCCCAGACCCCUGGCGGAAGCCUCCCAGGUCACAUCUUGCCUUGUUUCCCCACAGGGCAGCUGUGCGGAGGGUAGUGGCAGCCAUGAACCGGAUGGACCAGAAGAAGCACGAGAAGUUUUCAAACCAGUUUAACUACGCACUGAACUAGAGAGCGGGGCCCAGUGCACUGGCCAUCAGCACCUUCUCCCUCUGCCAGUGUCUCAGGACAGCAGAGUGGGCGUGGGUGUGGGCAGUAACCAUGCUUUGUCUAUUACUGUGUUUGAUGUAAAGAAAUGGUGCGUUGCAGUGCCCUGAAGGUACGGCCGCUCUGCUGCUACAGGGUUUGGCAUCGUCUGGUGAUGGGUCUGGCCUCGCAGAAGAGGCCCUCGGGCCUGGAGAUGUGAACGCAGGCAGCGACCCUGUUCCAGAGGGCGUCUGCGAGUCCUUGUGAGGCCAGUGCGUGUCGUGGUGUGGGGUUCAGCACGGACGGAAUGUGUGUGCAGCUCAGCCUUCAGAGCGUGCAUUCCCCAGCCAGGAGGCGACCACUCAGAGGAACUCUGGGAAACCCACUUUGGUGCAAAUGCUGUUUUUAACACAAACACAAAGGCUAGUGAACCGUUCAAUCAUCUGCUUUCUGUUUCUGGAUGUGCCUUUUCAUACAUGUGUCCUCUUGUCCCUGGCUUCUUACACUUGGCGUUGUUUUCAAGGUUUAUCCAUGCAGUUCCUUCCAAUGUAUAAAACAAAGGAGGUGAAAACCUGUCCAUGCAGAAGCUUGUGCCCCCAUGUUCACAGCAGCAUUGGAGAAGGAUACUGAACAUCUUCUCGUGGGCUUACUGGCCAUUUGUGUAUCUCCUUUGGAGAGGAGUCUAUUCAAACCUCUUGCCUAUUUUUAAUUGAAUGAUUUAUCUUGAGUUGUAACAGUUGUUUUUUUUUCUUCCUUUUAGAGAUGGGCUUUUGCUCUUACCCAGGCUGAGUGCAGUGGCAGAAUCAUAGCUCAGUGCAGCCUCGAACUCCCGGGCUCAAGCCAUCCUUCCACGUCAGCCUCCCAGGUAGCUGGGACUACAGGCACACACCACAACACUUGGCUAAUUUUUUAAAUUUUUUGUAGAGAUGAGGUCUCACUGUGUUGCCCACGGUGAUCUCGAACUCCUAGCCUCAAGUGAUCCUCCUGCUUCAGUCUCCCAAAGUGUUGGGAUUACAGGCAUGAACCACCACUCCUGGCCAGGAGUUUAUAUGUAUACUGUGAAUACUAGAUCCUCAUGUGAUUUGCAAAAACUCGUCAGCCUCCUGAGUAGCUGGGAUUACAGGCACCCGCCACCACACCCAGCUAAUUUUUGUAUUUUUAGUAGAGACGGGAUUUCACUAUGUUGGCUGGGAUGGUCUUGAUCUCUUGACCUCAUGAUCCACCCACCUCGGCCUCCCAUAGUGCUGGGAUUACAGGUGUGAGCCACCGCACUCAGCUGAUUUGCAAAAACUUUCUUCCAUACUGUUGUUUCACUUUCUGGAUAGUGUCCUCUGAAGCACAAAAGUUAAUUUUGAUGAAGUACAGCAAUUUAUCUGUUUUUUUCUUUUGUUGCUUAUGCUUUUGCUGUCACAUUUCAGAAGCCAUCACCUAAUCCAAGAUCACAGAGAUUUACACCUAGUUUCUAAUGAGCAUUUUAUAAUUUCAGCUCUUAUGUGUAGAUCUUUGAUCCAUUGUGAAUUAAGUUUUGUGUGUGGUGUAAGAGCCCACAUUCUUUUGCAUGUGGAUAUCCAGUUGUCCCAGCACCAUUUGUUGAAAACAUUAUUUUUCCCCAUUGAAUUAUCUUCGCACCGUUAUUGAUAAUCAGUUGACCAAAAAUGUACAGGCUUAUUUCUGGGCACUUGACUCUAUUCCAUUGACCUGUUUAACCUUAUGCCAGUGCCACAGUGCCUUGAUCAGUGCUGCUUUGUUGUGAUAAGUUUUACUUUGUUCUGCUUCAAGGCUGUUUUGACUCUUCUGCAUCCCUUGCAUUUCCAAAUGAAUUUUAGGAUC